CUAAAUCUAUAGAGAGAGGCUGGCAGCCGUAUUCUUCUCUACCUCCCAGACAACUUCUUUCUUGUCAUCACCAAGUCACCAACCUAACCUCCGCCCCCAAUCUUUCGUCAUGAGUAGAUGGCGAUGAUGCCAAGACAGCGGAGGGGAUGCCGCUGUCACGCUCCUCAUUCUCUGAAAUGGCUCGCCGAAAGUUUCAGCCUUCGUCGCUGCUGUCCGCUGCGGAAACUACCGGACCGGGUUUGGUGCGAUCCACUCCGUUGUCUCGGCGUUUGUCGCCAUCUACACUGAGCCGUUUUCACUCAAACCGAGCAAGCUCCUCCCAUCACAUCACGAAGAAAAAUAAUGGUUUCUAUAUUAUCGAUCACAUUCUAUCUCUUGUUCUAUUCCUACCUAAAGGACAAGUUGAAUAAGAUGGAGGACUCAAGGUGAGUCUAAUCUAGAGGCACAGUGGACAACAGGAUCCUAAUCAUAGUGGGACAGUCUAGUCAUGGAGGAAGAUUAGAAGCAAGAAGAAGAUGAAUGAUCUGGUAGAUGUAGUGGCUAGUAGCAGUAUUUUUCAAGAACCAUUUAGAUAGUUACCCUUUUUAUAUGUAUAAGAUCCGCCUUGCAUAGUGUAUGAACCUCUUAUGCAUUUUAUAAUAUAAAGCAUAUUUGUUGUGCUUCAGGUUUCUAUUCAA